rnacentral:rRNA from 1 species
GUGAACGCUGGCGGUAGGCCUAACACAUGCAAGUCGAACGGCAGCACAGUAAGAGCUUGCUCUUACGGGUGGCGAGUGGCGGACGGGUGAGGAAUACAUCGGAAUCUACUUUUUCGUGGGGGAUAACGUAGGGAAACUUACGCUAAUACCGCAUACGACCUACGGGUGAAAGCAGGGGAUCUUCGGACCUUGCGCGAUUGAAUGAGCCGAUGUCGGAUUAGCUAGUUGGCGGGGUAAAGGCCCACCAAGGCGACGAUCCGUAGCUGGUCUGAGAGGAUGAUCAGCGACACUGGAACUGAGACACGGUCCAGACUCCUACGGGAGGCAGCAGUGGGGAAUAUUGGACAAUGGGCGCAAGCCUGAUCCAGCCAUACCGCGUGGGUGAAGAAGGCCUUCGGGUUGUAAAGCCCUUUUGUUGGGAAAGAAAAGCAGCAGGUUAAUACCCCGCUGUUCUGACGGUACCCAAAGAAUAAGCACCGGCUAACUUCGUG